rnacentral:rRNA from 1 species
GAACUGAGGGUAGCGGAGAAAUUCCAAUCGAACCUGGAGAUAGCUGGUUCUCUCCGAAAUAGCUUUAGGGCUAGCCUCAAGUGAUGAUUAUUGGAGGUAGAGCACUGUUUGGACGAGGGGCCCCUCUCGGGUUACCGAAUUCAGACAAACUCCGAAUGCCAAUUAAUUUAACUUGGGAGUCAGAACAUGGGUGAUAAGGUCCGUGUUCGAAAGGGAAACAGCCCAGACCACCAGCUAAGGUCCCAAAAUAUAUGUUAAGUGGAAAAGGAUGUGGCGUUGCCCAGACAACUAGGAUGUUGGCUUAGAAGCAGCCAUCAUUUAAAGAGUGCGUAAUAGCUCACUAGUCGAGUGACACUGCGCCGAAAAUGUACCGGGGCUAAACAUAUUACCGAAGCUGUGGAUUGUCCUUUGGACAAUGGUAGGAGAGCGUUCUAAGGGCGUUGAAGCAUGAUCGUAAGGACAUGUGGAGCGCUUAGAAGUGAGAAUGCCGGUGUGAGUAGCGAAAGACGGGUGAGAAUCCCGUCCACCGAUUGACUAAGGUUUCCAGAGGAAGGCUCGUCCGCUCUGGGUUAGUCGGGUCCUAAGCUGAGGCCGACAGGCGUAGGCGAUGGAUAACAGGUUGAUAUUCCUGUACCACCUAUAAUCGUUUUAAUCGAUGGGGGGACGCAGUAGGAUAGGCGAAGCGUGCGAUUGGAUUGCACGUCUAAGCAGUAAGGCUGAGUAUUAGGCAAAUCCGGUACUCGUUAAGGCUGAGCUGUGAUGGGGAGAAGACAUUGUGUCUUCGAGUCGUUGAUUUCACACUGCCGAGAAAAGCCUCUAGAUAGAAAAUAGGUGCCCGUACCGCAAACCGACACAGGUAGUCAAGAUGAGAAUUCUAAGGUGAGCGAGCGAACUCUCGUUAAGGAACUCGGCAAAAUGACCCCGUAACUUCGGGAGAAGGGGUGCUCUUUAGGGUUAACGCCCAGAAGAGCCGCAGUGAAUAGGCCCAAGCGACUGUUUAUCAAAAACACAGGUCUCUGCUAAACCGUAAGGUGAUGUAUAGGGGCUGACGCCUGCCCGGUGCUGGAAGGUUAAGAGGAGUGGUUAGCUUCUGCGAAGCUACGAAUCGAAGCCCCAGUAAACGGCGGCCGUAACUAUAACGGUCCUAAGGUAGCGAAAUUCCUUGUCGGGUAAGUUCCGACCCGCACGAAAGGCGUAACGAUUUGGGCACUGUCUCAACGAGAGACUCGGUGAAAUCAUAGUACCUGUGAAGAUGCAGGUUACCCGCGACAGGACGGAAAGACCCCGUGGAGCUUUACUGUAGCCUGAUAUUGAAAUUCGGCACAGCUUGUACAGGAUAGGUAGGAGCCUUUGAAACGUGAGCGCUAGCUUACGUGGAGGCGCUGGUGGG